rnacentral:lncRNA from 1 species
UGGAAGGUAGUAUGGGCCCGUACUACUUGAAGUGCACGACCCGUACGCGUAGCAAGGAAGCUACAACCCCUAGGUUUUUGUUGGAAAUGGUGUUGGAUAAGGUGUCUAAGUCCAUAACUUAUUUGGUAUAUACUUGACCCGACCCGGCAUGGUCCAUUUGGGUUGCAUUUCAUCCAAACUAUUUAUGGAUAAUUUUAUGAGAGUUAUACACAUAUGAUUAUUAAUAUAUUAUAAGUUAUAAUAUAUUAAUAUGAAGUCAUGUUAUUUAAUUAGUCUUAGUCUUAAAUUAAUUAUGAAUUAAUUUAGAGAUUAAAAGGGAGACUAAUUAGAUUGUGGGCUAUUGGUUUUAUAUAGUGUGGGCUAACACUCAUUUGUUAAUAGGCUAGGCUUAUAUGGAAGUCCAUGGAUGAUCCAUGGAGCUUUUAACCCAUGGAUCCUUGGAAAAGGAAAGGUCAUGGGUUAUUAGGGUUUCACCCUAAUCAUGUACACUAUAUAAGCAUGCUUAUGUUGCAUGAAAUAGCCACUAGUGUCACUAGUGUGUGUGUGUUUUGUGUGUGGUCGAAAUUAUAGUGUGUAUACACUCUCUCAAAGUUUUCCAAGAGUUUGUGGUGAUUUGUGAUUCCAUUUGAGGCAUUCACACCUUUGGUGCUUGGCCCUCAAACUCCUUAGGAUUCAAACUCAUCAUCAAAAGGUACGUAAUCUCAUCUAAUUCUUUUAUGUUUAAAAGUACCCCAUGCCAUGUUAGAUAGGUUAUGAACCUUGGAAAAUUAUUAUUUUGCAUGUAUUUAGACAAACAUAGAUCCAAGGUUUAUUAGGGUUGCAUGCACACUUAGGAAGUGUUAGAUUGCUCAAAACCCAACAGUGGUAUCAGAGCCUAGGCUUGCUUGUUUGAUACUUGAUGCAAAAUAGUGAAAAAAGUUGAAAUUGUUGCUGUCUGGCUGAUGGACUCGCCGAGUCCAUGGGGGGACUCGCCGAGUUCAAGGCAAAAUUCAUCCUACUCGGCGAGUAGGUUCGUGCACUCGGCGAGUAGAAUGAUCAGAAUGCAGAAUUUCGACUUUUGCUGCUGGAAAUGGACUAGAAACAUUACCCUAAACUGUUUUGGUGUUUUAAAACUUGUUUUAGUUGGUGUAAUGGUUGUUCUAAUCCAUUUACAAUAGCAUAUAUCAAAAUUCCAUGAUUUUUAUGUGUUCAUAUAAUUCUUGAAAUUUUGAUGAUCAUGUUCAUGUUCUUAUGAAUUUAGAAGAUGAUAGGAAUUAUUUGCUGAAUUGUUUAGAAUUAAUUCUUGAUCAUUUAUGUGUUUUAAUGGAGUCCAUAAUUUGUCCUCAAGUUAUGGAUAUCCAAAGGUCACUUUUCUUUAACACACACAUUUAAACACAUAAGUUACAUGAAAAUGAAGAGUCUUCAUUUUUAUGAACCUUUAAUUCAUAAGUUAUGAAAUGAAAAGUUUUGGAUAGUUACAAAACUUGCCCUCAAGUUUUGGAAUUUGAAAAGUUUCACACACUUUAAUAAACUUUAAUUCCAACACUUAGAGUUUUAAAAGUUAAAAUUCAACACUUAUACUAUUUAUAACAUUAAUGGUUAAUUAUUAUAUAUAUGUAUAAGAACAAGUCGUUUUACCGUUAGUAGGCCUCAUUCACGAAGCCGGUCUAUAAGGUGGGUAUAAGGUUGUUGCCUAUAAAAUGGCGACUUAAUGGGUGUCCACUCUCACCCACCGCUUGCUUGAUCGGUGGAGGGUCGUUAGCCGAACGGGUAGGACAAUGACUUUAAAUUCUCAUUAAAAGUAUAAUGAUUAUUAUAAAGUAACUAAAAAUUUUUUAUUUAAUUCCCAAUCUUAGUUACUUUAGGAAAAAUGUGAAUUUGGUGCUAGCCCAUGGAAUUCACACUUUGUACCUUACCAAGUCGUUGGUGGAGCGUGUGUGGUUAACCGGCACACUAACUUGGACUAGUAAGGAUCACGAAGGGUGACUUAAUGUUUGUCAUAGAUCAAUGGAGCGUGUGUGGUUAACCGGCACAUUGAUUAGGUGAUAAUAUUAAGGGUACCAAGUGAAUUGGUAUGGUUAUUCACACCUUGUUUUGUGAUCCUCGGCAUCCCAGUCACAAAAUUUGAGAGGGCACACUCGAGAUUGAAACAUGCCAUUGAAAAGUUCAAUGAAUCUCAAAAGAUCUAGGAAUUUCAAAUCCAAUUAAAACCUAAUAAAUUAUUUCGUUUUUCAUGGUGGAAAUUGGUGAAUCGUCAUUCGCCUACCUUCAAAUAUUUUAUAGCUUGGAUUACGGCAUCCCUCUUCCAAAUUAUAAAAUAUUGUGUUGGGUCCUAGCCUUAAUAUUUCAUAUUGGGUGUUAUAUUAAGGACUUUGAAUCAACUAACUUGAUUUUCUCCCAUUAUAGAUGUCUGGUUCAGACAACUAUGAUCUUCCCAAAUCUCUUGAAGAUGGUGUCCCUCAACAUCAUGCUUCACUUCCUCCACCUCCUCCAAUUAUUCUCCCUCACCCACAAGUUCUUGAAAAGUUUAAAGUCACUCAAUCCCUAUUGGCAAGCAUAGUCUAUGUGUGCUCACAUCUUGGAGAUAAAGUCACAUAUUGACAAGCCGGGAGAGUUGGGUGUCAAAGUCUCGUGAAAGUUGGAUGUUCAAUCACUUUCUUAGUAACAUAGUGAGUCUCUUUGGGACUACUAUGAGACAGACUAUGACAUGACCCUUAAUGAUGUUAUCUAUUUGCUUGGUGUUGUGGAAUCAGCAAUGAUUUGGAACACCAGUAAAGCAAAUUUGAUUAAAAGAACAACUUCCCAAGUCUUAAAUGGACAUUGACAAUGGUAGCAUUGGAUAUCUAGAAAAGGAUUUCUCUUCCCAAUGGAAAGGGAUCGGCCAUAGUCAACUCGGUUGACCAAAUGGUAAAGAGAAAGGCUAAGUCUGAGAUAGUCUCAUGUGCCAUUACCAAAGGGUCCAUGUGUUUUGUUGCCAAAGGAAGGGGCAUUGGUUGCGAAGCUGCCCUAUUCACCUGAAAGGUCAUAAGGUUGAUCAAGUCAAGAGGUUUGACUCUACUUCGGGUAAAGUCCACUGUCUAACUCUAUUAAGUUCCUAUUUGGAGAUUCUUAUUACAUAAUGUGAAUGGGUCACAUGCUGAUGUUUUUAAGAAUCAAAGAAAAGAUAGGAAGCUUAAAGUAAGUAUAUGUUGAUUCUGAUUGCGAAGGUGGGUUUCGAUCGCAUGGUUCGGUAAUCAGAAUUUUGAGCUGUUGCUUAAGAGUUAUAAUAUAUUGCUUAUGAAUAGAUAACAACAAGGUUUUCAUGUGGAUUGUAAGGAUAAGUUUUUCCGCAAAGUUUUAAAAAAAAAAAAAAAAAGGGUUUUAAUUUUAUUUAUUUUAAAAAUAUCCUUACAAUGGCAUCUGUGGAAAAUUGUUGCUUAUAUGUUUCCAGUAAUAGCAAUAUUGGAAAGUGGAUUUGAUUCUUUCAUUUGUGGUAGUGUCUGAAUUUACCAAAUGAAGAAAGUUUUUCAUCACCCAAGUUUCAAUUGGACAGAAACUUGGAAUCAUACAAGUUGUAUUGUAUGAUGAAUGAGAAUUUUCAUCUUUGAAAAUUAAGACUAAUUCUUUGAUCACAUGUAUAUGUGAGUCAAUUGAAGGACUAAGGAAUUAGGUACACUGGGUGUGCGCUGGUCAAGGUCCACCACAAAGAUUGAUUUGUCAUGAUUUACUAAAGAUUAGUAAAUAUGAUUAUACUUAUGAGGUUAAGUAUAAUUCUGUAACAUUGGAAAGGUUACAAUGUAUGACAAAACAAAUGAGAAGAAUCAAAUUAGGCAGAAAGAUAAAAGUUUCUCAAAUCUGAAAGGAUGGGAGAGUACUUUAGUAUCGUAUUUCAUGAUCAUCUUAAUGAUUAUGAAACCAUAUCACAAAUUCAUACUCUAAGGACGUCUUAGUGCAUUGUUAUGGCUAAGAAGAGAGGUCAUGAAUUGUUGGAUUGGUUAAAAUCAAGAAGAUGAGUCAUACUUCGUUCCAAAACAAUUCUUAGAGUCAUACUCCAAGAUUGUAACUUUGAGUGACAUAAAGGAAGAUUUAUUAACACUAGUCAAAUGUAAGAGUAAAAUGUUUUCUACUCUUGUACAUUUGAGAUUGGUAAGUUGUGAUGUCUUGGAUGAGACAAAGACCAACUAAGACCAAUUGUGUGAAGUGUUAGUCUUGAUAAGAAUCCGCACUAUCCCUUGAAUAUUUGUUUUGUCAAGGAAUGGUUCUUGACUGGGGAAACUUAUAUGUCAAGGGGACAGUGGGAGCCUUAAAGAUCCUGAAAGAGUUUCAAGAUUUAAUCAAGAGUAAAACCUGUAAUUUAUCACUAGCACACGACUUAAGGUUUGCAACCUAUCGUGUUGACAUAAUUCUUAUUUCUGUACCUACUUCAAAUAAGUUGAAUUUGCAUGUGAGUUAUCAGAGUUCAACUUGGAAGCAUUGGUGGGCCUUGUGCUACCAAGGUGACAAGAAACUAAGAUUGAACAAGUUUAAUCCAUGUAAGGCUGAAUUUGUCACUAACCUUAUCUUGUGAUUAUGGUUUUGACAAAUUCACAUGGAUAGGAACUCAUACACUAUAAAAUCUAAGUGUCAUAAGGUUUCUCUCCGAUUCAUGAAAAUGAUGGUGAGGAAACGCUUUCACUAAGUAGAUUUUACGUAGAUAUCAAUUGUGUUAUUUGCAUUUUCAAAAGUCGUUAGUGGAGCGCGUGUGGUUAACCGGCACACUAACAUGGACUUGUGAGAAAUGGCAAAUGCCUAAGCAAUUGAGACUAUGAUUACGGCAUCCCUUUUCAUAGUUCUGAAAAUUGUUUAGACACACAUGUGAGCUAUCUAAGAAAGGGUGUAUGAAUCUAAAUUUCAGAAGUCCAGCAGAUUUCUGGAAAUAUGUCAGAGCUAGUGGGAGCAUAAGUGUUAUGCUGAUAAUCAUCAUGUUAGUGGGAGCAUGAUUAUUACGUUUAGUGUUGCAAGUUAGCAAUGUUAAUUAUAGAAAACAAAGUUUCAAUUCGUGAAGUUGCAGGGGUUGAAAAGUUGUUUUGCUAUAAUUAAGGGAGAGGAAAUUAUACUUCAUUUCAAUUCUAAAGCUUAGAUUGAGAUUUUAAUCAUCUUUAGUCAAGAAUAUAUAUAUGAAUUUUAUGUUGGAAUGGUUCAACUUGAAGAAAUUCUAUAUAUAUUGCGUUUUCAAAAUUCGAUUAUGAUUACGGCAUCCCUCUUCAUAGUUAAAUUUUGAAAACAUGGCAAAUAAAAAAUAUUGUAGCAAAAGACUGGUCUAGUAUCAUGUCUUUAUGUCAAACAUCAUGAAUCGUGUCCCAUAUGCUUCGGAUAUAGGAUCGAUUGCAUGUGCUAUAAUAUUCAUCUUUUCUAAAUUUUCCAAAUGCUUAAGGCAUUGAGAAGGGAAAAGUCUAGAACUGGAUAUGACUAAAGUGAUUAAGCAAUUGUCGAGGACAAUCUGAGGUUCGCCAAAGAUUGGUUGCUCAGGGAAAGUUGGAAGUAUGAUGUAAGUUGUCGGAAAGGACCAUAUUGACAUAUUCUGAAAAGAAGUAACUCUUGUUCGGAAGUGAUAGUCAAAAUGGGACUAUGGAAAUGUCUCCAUAGGUGGAAGUUAUUCAAUCUAUGUAAGAUUAGAAAACCUUAAUGCAAGAAGGAUGUUCAAAGCAAUGUACUUUGAAUAUGAGACUUCCGUUCCAUAGAAGUUGACCUUCUUUGGAAUACUCUGUAAUGACUGGUGACAAGGUUUUGGUGACUUUGUGCAUAAUCAUUACAAGAGGAACAUUGCAUAAAAGUUUAAAAUCUAACAGUUUUUUUGGUAAAUGAUAGGAAUCGGGGAUUCUCACAUUUACAAUAAGGAUUUGGGAUUGUGAAAUGAGUAUCAUUGGAAUCAUGUUCAAUUGAUCUACAUCACAAUGUAAGGAUCAUAGACAAACAUAGUGUGCAUACUUGGAGUAUGGCAUAACUAUUGUUUAGAAAAACAAAGUGUACAUGCUAGGAGCAUGGGACGACUGUUGUUUUUAUUCAAGUCUUAAGUUGAUUGUUUGAAACAUUAUACAAUGAAUAAUGUGUAAUCAAUAUGGUGAUAAAUAAAAGGUGGUUCUAUUUAUAUUCAAAAGGGUUCUGAGACCAUAUUGGAUUCGAUUAUUAUUGUGUUUCACUUUGCAUGUUUUGACUUCCAAAAUAGCUAGGUUAUUCUUUCCGAAUGACUAAGUUAUUUAAACACUCCACAGUCGUUCAUAUGUUGGAAGUAGGUAUGAAUCAAGACUGUCAUGAAUCGAGUUUGUAGAUGGCUAAAUGGGUUUAGUCAUAGCAAUGGUUGCUACAACAUUCAUGAGUGCUCAUAAGUUAUGAGUAUUGGAAUAAACCCACGCUCACUUGUAUCACUUCAUGGAAUUUAUCUCGAGUGAUCGUGAGACGGUAAUAUCAUAUAAAUCUUCAAACCUAGAGAUAUGAGUUGUUACCUAUGAGUUGGUUGUGCAUUGAUUGCACGUAAACGCAUCAGUAACUUGAUGUUAUAAAACGUGCCUUUGUGUACAAUUCAACAAGUAGUAGAACAAGCAUAUGAGUCGAAGUUUAUCUGUUCCUUCUAGAAAUAGAAGCGAUAUCUGGGCCCCUCGAUGAUUUUGUUGUGACCUAUGUACCGGCCGGUCAGAACUAAAUUGAUGUGUUCGAUUAAGUUCUUUGUCAAACAAAUCGAAAAUCGGGAAACAAACUGCUGGACAAUAAGUACGACGUUGUUCCAUGUAUUUGUCCGGCUGAUAUCAUGAGAACAGAGGAUUAUAUGAUCACUUAUCUAAAAUGGCGCUUCAUAGUUCAACAGAGUUUUCGAGAGCUACGAUUGCUGGUUGGUUCCUGAAGUAACAUACGCAAAUAUAGUUAUUAGACUUAUCCAAGUGGGAGUCUGUUGGAUAAGGUGUCUAAGUCCAUAACUUAUUUGGUACAUACUUGACCCGACCCGGCAUGGUCCAUUUGGGUUGCAUUUCAUCCAAACUAUUUAUGGAUAAUUUUAUGAGAGUUAUACACAUAUGAUUAUUAAUAUAUUAUAAGUUAUAAUAUAUUAAUAUGAAGUCAUGUUAUUUAAUUAGUCUUAGUCUUAAAUUAAUUAUGAAUUAAUUUAGAGAUUAAAAGGAAGACUAAUUAGAUUGUGGGCUAUUGGUUUUAUAUAGUGUGGGCUAACACUCAUUUGUUAAUGGGCUAGGCUUAUAUGGAAGUCCAUGGAUGAUCCAUGGAGCUUUUAACCCAUGGAUCCUUGGAAAAGGAAAGGUCAUGGGUUAUUAGGGUUUCACCCUAAUCAUGUACACUAUAUAAGCAUGCUUAUGUUGCAUGAAAUAGCCACUAGUGUCACUAGUGUGUGUGUGCUUGUGUGUGGCCGAUUUUAUAAUGUGUAUACACUCUCUCAAAGUUUCCCAAGAGUUUGUGGUGAUUUGUGGUUCCAUUUGAGGCAUUCACACUAUUGGUGCUUGGCC